rfam:Danio rerio chromosome 4, GRCz11 reference primary assembly.
GUUUCUGUAGUGUAGUGGUCAUCACGUUCGCCUAACACGCGAAAGGUCCUCGGUUCGAAACCAAGCGGAAACA